rnacentral:rRNA from 1 species
UACGUAGGUGGCAAGCGUUGUCCGGAUUUACUGGGCGUAAAGAGCGCGCAGGCGGUCGUGCAAGUCGCGUGUGAAAGCCCCCGGCUCAACUGGGGAGGGUCACGCGAUACUGCUCGACUCGAAGGCAGGAGAGGGAAGUGGGAUUCCCGGUGUAGUGGUGAAAUGCGUAGAUAUCGGGAGGAACACCAGUGGCGAAGGCGACUUCCUGGCCUGUUCUUGACGCUGAGGCGCGAAAGCUAGGGUAGCAAACGGG